AUACGGAGGAUGCAAGCGUUAUUCGGAAUCACUGGGCGUAAAGGACGCGUAGGCGGGUUGGCAAGUCAGAUGUGAAAUCCUACAGCUUAACUGUAGAACUGCAUUUGAAACUGCUAACCUAGAGUAUGGGAGGGGGAGAUGGAAUUAGUGGUGUAGGGGUAAAAUCCGUAGAUAUUACUAGGAAUACCGAAAGCGAAGGCGAUCUCCUGGAACAUAACUGACGCUAAGGCGUGAAAGCGUGGGGAGCAAACAGGAUUAGAAACCCUAGUAGUCC
rnacentral:rRNA from 1 species